GGAUAACUCAGUUGGUAGAGCACAAGGCUCUUAACCUCUGGGUUGUGGGUUCAAGCCCCACGUUGGGCA